GACAGAGGAUGCAAGCGUUAUCCGGAAUGAUUGGGCGUAAAGCGUCUGUAGGUGGCUUUUUAAGUCUGCCGUCAAAUCCCAGGGCUUAACCCUGGACAGGCGGUGGAAACUACCAAGCCGGAGUACGGUAGGGGCAGGGGGAAUUUCCGGUGGAGCGGUGAAAUGCGUAGAGAUCGGAAAGAACACCAACGGCGAAAGCACUCUGCUGGGCCGACACUGACACUGAGAGACGAAAGCUAGGGGAGCGAAUGGG
rnacentral:rRNA from 1 species